rnacentral:piRNA from 1 species
UGCUGUGUCCGUUCAUAGUGUGGAUUGG